UGGGGAAUCUUGGACAAUGGGGGCAACCCUGAUCCAGCAAUGCCGCGUGAGUGAUGAAGGCCUUAGGGUUGUAAAGCUCUUUUACCAGGGAUGAUAAUGACAGUACCUGGAGAAUAAGCUCCGGCUAACUCCGUGCCAGCAGCCGCGGUAAUACGGAGGGGACUAGCGUUGUUCGGAAUUACUGGGCGUAAAGCGCGCGUAGGCGGACUAUUAAGUCAGGGGUGAAAUCCCGGGGCUCAACCCCGGAACUGCCUUUGAUACUGGUAGUCUUGAGUUCGAGAGAGGUGAGUGGAAUUCCGAGUGUAGAGGUGAAAUUCGUAGAUAUUCGGAGGAACACCAGUGGCGAAGGCGGCUCACUGGCUCGAUACUGACGCUGAGGUGCGAAAGUGUGGGGAGCAAACAGGAUUAGAUACCCCCGUAGUCC
rnacentral:rRNA from 1 species